AUAAGCGGAGGAAAGAACUAACAAGGAUUCCCCUAGUAACUGCGAGUGAAGCGGGAAAAGCUCAAAUUUGAAAUCUGGCAGUCCUCGACUGUCUGAGUUGUAAUCUGGAGAAGUGUUACCUGUGCUGGACCAUGUACAAGUCUCCUGGAAUGGAGCAUCAUGGAGGGUGAGAAUCCCGUCUUUGACAUGGACUGCCAGUGCGUCAAGGUGUGCUCUCGAAGAGUCGAGUUGUUUGGGAAUGCAGCUCAAAAUGGGUGGUAAAUGCCAUCUAAAGCUAAAUAUUGGCGAGAGACCGAUAGCGAACAAGUACCGUGAGGGAAAGAUGAAAAGAACUUUGGAAAGAGAGUUAAACAGUACGUGAAAUUGCUGAAAGGGAAACACUUGAAGUCAGUCAYGUUGGCCAGAAAUCAGCCUUGCUUUUGCUUGGUGUACUUUCUGGCUGACGGGUCAGCAUCAAUUCUGAUCACUGGAUAAAGGCUUUGGGAAUGUGGCAUCUUUGGAUGUGUUAUAGCCCAUUGUUGGACACGGUGAUUGGGAUUGAGGAACUCAGCACACUGCAAGGCCGGGCUUCAGAACCACGUCUGUGCUUAGGAUGCUGGCAUAAUGGCUUUAAUUGACCCGUCUUGAAACACGGACCAAGGAGUCUAACAUGCCUGCGAGUGUUUGGGUGGAAAACCCAUGCGCGCAAUGAAAGUGAAAGUUAAGAUCCUCUUUUAUGGGGGGAGCAUUGAUGCCCGGACCAGACCUCUUGCGAUGGAUCCGCGGUAGAGCAUGCAUGUUGGGACCCGAAAGAUGGUGAACUAUGCCUGAAUAGGGUGAAGCCAGAGGAAACUCUGGUGGAGGCUCGUAGCGAUUCUGACGUGCAAAUCGAUCGUCAAAUUUGGGUAUAGGGGCGAAAGACUAAUCGAACCAUCUAGUAGCUGGUUCCUGCCGAGU
rnacentral:rRNA from 1 species